rnacentral:rRNA from 1 species
CCUACGGGCGGCAGCAGUGGGGAAUUUUGGACAAUGGGCGCAAGCCUGAUCGAGCCAUGCCGCGUGUCUGAAGAAGGCCUUCGGGUUGUAAAGGACUGUUGUCAGGGAAGAAAAGGACAGGGUUAAUACCCCUGUCUGAUGACGGUACCUGAAGAAUAAGCACCGGCUAACUACGUGCCAGCAGCCGCGGUAAUACGUAGGGUGCGAGCGUUAAUCGGAAUUACUGGGCGUAAAGCGAGCGCAGACGGUUACUUAAGCAGGAUGUGAAAUCCCCGGGCUCAACCUGGGAACUGCGUUCUGAACUGGGUGACUAGAGUGUGUCAGAGGGAGGUAGAAUUCCACGUGUAGCAGUGAAAUGCGUAGAGAUGUGGAGGAAUACCGAUGGCGAAGGCAGCCUCCUGGGAUAAAACUGACGUUCAUGCUCGAAAGCGUGGGUAGCAAACAGGAUUAGAUACCCCGGUAGUC